rnacentral:rRNA from 1 species
UGGGGAAUAUUGCACAAUGGGCGCAAGCCUGAUGCAGCCAUGCCGCGUGUGUGAAGAAGGCCUUCGGGUUGUAAAGCACUUUCAGCGGGGAGGAAGGCGGUGAGGUUAAUAACCUCACCGAUUGACGUUACCCGCAGAAGAAGCACCGGCUAACUCCGUGCCAGCAGCCGCGGUAAUACGGAGGGUGCAAGCGUUAAUCGGAAUUACUGGGCGUAAAGCGCACGCAGGCGGUCUGUCAAGUCGGAUGUGAAAUCCCCGGGCUCAACCUGGGAACUGCAUUCGAAACUGGCAGGCUAGAGUCUUGUAGAGGGGGGUAGAAUUCCAAGUGUAGCGGUGAAAUGCGUAGAGAUCUGGAGGAAUACCGGUGGCGAAGGCGGCCCCCUGGACAAAGACUGACACUCAGGUGCGAAAGCGUGGGGAGCAAACAGG